rnacentral:rRNA from 1 species
UACGUAGGGUGCGAGCGUUAAUCGGAAUUACUGGGCGUAAAGCGUGCGUAGACGGUUACAUAAGUCGGGUGUGAAAGCCCCGGGCUCAACCUGGGAAUUGCAUUCGAGACUGCGUAGCUAGGGUGCGGAAGAGGGAAGCGGAAUUUCCGGUGUAGCGGUGAAAUGCGUAGAUAUCGGAAGGAACACCAGUGGCGAAAGCGGCUCCUGGUCCAGCACCGACGUCAGGCAUCGAAAGCGUGGGGAGCAAACAGG